GACGCGGUGGCCUAAUGGUUAGCGCGCUGGACUCCGGAACGAGCGGUCCGGGUUCGAGCCUAGCCUGCGUGGCA